rnacentral:rRNA from 1 species
UUAAUUGAAGAGUUUGAUCAUGGCUCAGAUUGAACGCUGGCGGCAGGCCUAACACAUGCAAGUCGAGCGGUAACAGAAAAGAAGCUUGCUUCUUUUGCUGACGAGCGGCGGACGGGUGAGUAAUGCCUGGGAAUAUACCUCAGUGUGGGGGAUAACUAUUGGAAACGAUAGCUAAUACCGCAUAAUCUCCGAUCUUUUACGAGAUGGGAGCAAAGCGGGGGACCUUCGGGCCUCGCGCGCUGAGAUUAGCCCAGGUGGGAUUAGCUAGUUGGUGGGGUAAUGGCUCACCAAGGCGACGAUCCCUAGCUGGUCUGAGAGGAUGAUCAGCCACACUGGAACUGAGACACGGUCCAGACUCCUAC